UCCCUCUUCUUGAUAAAGCAUCCCAUCGGUUUCCUCAUCAUACAUAGGAUACUCUGUAACACCCAAAACACCUGAGGCAAUCAACUGUUUGGCUUCCCACUUCUCUGGCGAGCUCAUUCUCUUCAAUGGCCGACGUGAUGGGCCAACAUCAUCCUCUUCCACAAUCCUAAUCCCAGAAAGACCAGUCCUAGUCACAGGUCCAUCCUUUGAAAAAGAUGGGUUCGUCCUAAGAGCAUCAUCCUCUGAGCUCUUCUUCAAGGGGAGCAAAUCCUUCCCUGUAUGUUGAUCAACAUCCCUCAUUGAAAGGCUCAACUUCUGACCUGAAAUUGAAAUCACCUUCACAUAAACUUCCUGAUCCCUCUUCACCACAUCCUUAGCAUUGCUAAUUCGCCUAGUUGCCAUCUGUGAAACGUGAACCAGACCCUCCUUCCCUCUUAAAUCAUUCAACUGAACAAAACAACCGGUGUCCAUCACUCUCGAAACCCUGCCCUUAUAAACCUGAUACAAUUCGGGCUCAUCCGAAUGGUUCUGGCCGUUCUGCCGAUCCCUAUUACCUCUCCUAUCAUCACCAUCUUCCUUAACAUCUCCAUCGUCUUCAUACCUAUCUCUCUUAUGCUUAUUGUAUCGAUCUGUAUGCCUUCCCCUGUCAUCAUCAUCAUCAUUAUAAUGUGUAUCUCUGCGCCUCUCAUCUCUAUCAUACCUUUCCCUUCGCCUCUCCCUCCCAUCUCUAUCUCUACCUCCUCUGUGUCUAUCUCGAUCUCUAUCUCUAUCUCCUUCCCUAUAUCUAUCACUACCUCUACGCCUAUCUUCUUCUCGCUCUUCAUCUUGUUCUUCUCUUCUGUUUCGCUUUUCCUUGGUCUCCAUCUCAAUUUCCUUCUCGAUGUCCUUGACUCUAUCUUUAUUAUCAGCGACUGCCAAAGCCUUAAACUUGGUCUUCCUACCAUCAGAAGCGCUCUCUUUCUUCGAGUCCUUCUCAGGCUUUGGCUUUGGUGGAAGAAUAGCGUGAAUGAUAGUGAGGAGUGUACGGACAAAGUAAUCGGGCAUCUCGGCACCGUUUUUCUUUAAUUUGGUGUCAAACUCGUCCACCGUCUCGCACUUUCGUCCCAACUCAGUGAUGAACUCCGCCAGAACUUUGUCCCCAACCCCUAUAUGGGUUUCGAGCUCUGAACAGACCUUGGAAACCAAGGAAAGGUACUCGAGCUUCUUCAAACCAUCGUCAGUGGCAGCCAUUAUGAACUUGCAGAGGUCCUAUUCAUAUUCAAUACAAAAACAAAUCAUAUCAAUAGAAAUUUCAAAAUUUAUGAGAAGAUGCAUAAACCGUAUAAUAUUAACUUGCACAGGCCCUAUUCAUAUUCAAGACAAAAAAUUCAUAUCAACGGAAAUUUCAAAAUUUAUGAGAAGAUCAUUGCUAUAUACUUUUAAUCAGUAGCAUAAAGUUCAAAAUUCAUGAAUGAUAAAUUUAUCACAAAAAAAGAAACAAUUUCUACAACUUCAAACUCACCCAGCAAAAAAUAAAAUUUAAAUCUAAAAUUGCAUACCAGGAGGAUCUGGAGAGUUAAUUCAACUAAUAAUAAAGUAAACUUGGAAUGCCAAAGCAAAUUCAACUAAAACCCUGUAGAACCCAGGAAAUAAGAAACGGAAGAGAAUAAAAAAGAAAUAUGAAACAAAAUCAAGGAAACUGAUCGUUGCUAAAGGGUGGAUCUUAAAUAUGUGAUGGGAUGGGGUCCAAGAUUAGAAUAUAUUGCAGUAAGACAUCAUACUUGGGAUGAGAUGAGAUCAAAGAUGGUUGCGCAUCAACCGUUGUCGCUGUCGAGAGAGAGGAGAGAUGAGCAAUAUGUAUAUGGCGGGAAGACGGCGUCGAAAAAUGGAGGAGUUGACGGUUGAGAUGGGCGGAUUGUUCGUCGCUGACGGCUGGAGCGUUUCUGUUUCAAAAAUAAUCUCAACUGAGAGGGGGGAUUUUAGCGAUUAGGGUUGAGAACUUGAGUUGGAGUGCACCGGCUGUAUCGAUACGCCUAAAUUUGGACCUGUGAAACUAGAGAAAAUAAUAUAAUAAUAAUAUCAUUUAUCUUUCCAAAGGCCAAAAACUUAUAAGUAAAAAUUUAAUAAAUUACAGAGAAACUUUAGUAAAUAGAAGAAUAUUAGGUAUGCAAUAAAAAGAUGAGGAAAAUUUUGGAAAAUAUAGUUAGUGGAGAUUUUUUUUUUUUUUUUAUACAAACAAUAAUCUAGUUUUUUUAUUUUUAUAAUCAUUCUAGGCCUACUUUAAUUUUUAUUUUUUAACAGCUAAUAGGAUAUUGGCACAUGAGUUGAUCUAUAGUAUUUUUUUACUACUUUUUGUUAGGUUAUUUUUAAUUUAAAUAUUCACUAGCCUCUUUUCACGCUCUUCUGCUUCUGUGAGAGGCUUUUUUAAAAAAAAAAUUGAAUUUAUUUUAGAAUUAAAAAAGAUAAUGAGUAGUUGUGUUCUAUAAAAAUAGGAUCCAUUAUCUGAUUUUUCUUUUAAUUUUAAUCUUUUUAAUAUGAAAAAAUGUGAAUUUACCAUAUUAUUCUCAUUUAAUUAAUAAUUUCAAUUCUUAAUGUUUGCAUUAAUCAAUGACAUUUUCUGGUAUUUUAAAUAUUUUAUCAUUCUCUACCUUUUGCUUUGUAUAUAUGGAUAUAGAUAAUAAUAAAAUACUCCCUUUCAUUGAGAUAUUGUUAUGCUUAAAAUCGUAUACACACCACAUUGUAUUGAAAUGUUAUAGUGACUAAACUCUUCAAGUAUCUUGCAAUUAUCAGAUAAGGAGUUAGUAAUCACAUAGGAAAAUAUUCAAUUUAUAUGUUUCUGGUUAUAAUAGUCAUGAUGCAUUUCACACCUUUUGCUGGUCUAGUCAAUACUGUUAUACUUCAGAAUUCCAAUAACGCUACGGGCACCAACUUAUUUACCAACUUUUGGAUACCAACACAUGUGGCACAUGACAUGGCAACCCAUGUCAUCUGCCAUCUCAUCUAUUUUAAUUACAAAAUUAACAAAGUGAGAAUGAACAAAAAAUAAUUUUGGUGGAUUAUUAUCGCGUUUGGAGUGAGUUUGGGUGUUUGAUUUGAUUUUGAUUAUUUAAUAAUACUAUUUUGGCCAUUGGAUUUGAUUUUGAGACAUUGGAAUUUUUUUUUUUUUGGUACAGUUGGAUUUGCUCAAAUUAAAUCUUAGCCAUUAUAUAUAACGAUAGAAAUUAAUUGGAAAAGAAAACGAAACAGUAGUUUGAAGGAAGCCGUUGGAUUCCUACGAUCCUUUCAUCCCAGCUCGUUAUGUGUCCUGACAACACGGGCCCCACGUCUUCUCAUCCAUUAAUCCCAACUCAAUGAACUUCCUUUUCAAACCCAACAAAAAAGAAAAAAAAAAAAAAAAGCGAUCUGAUUUGAAUGCACUUCUUUAUCAUGCAUUUUGUCCAGGAUAGGGGACUGAUUUUCCAGGCCAAGUGCGCAAAACAGUAGAGAUUUUAAAAUCAACUUUCCGAACGUAAAAUUAAAGUGGCUCGUUUAUGAAAAAGUUUCCCUCCCAUCUCCUCCUACUUUUCCCUCCUCACUCCCCUAGAAGAAUACCGGUAUAUAUUUUUCAUUUUCGGAAUUUCCAUUUUGUCUCAACUCAAACGUCAUUUGCUCUUGUCAUCCUCCUCCUUCAAUCCAACCCGCAUCCAUUGUUAGCUCGAAUCUUCUAAAACUACUACUUCGUUGUAAUUGGAUAUUAUUGAUUUGAUGGGUAGAGAGCAAGCUUAUGUUGGUGACGAUAUUGAUGAAAGUAAGUUCAAGACUUCGGAAGCAAUGAACCGCUACAAGAUAAUCUUCAGUGUUCAAGCUGUGACGGUUGAGCGGGAGGUCAAAUUGAGUGACUUCGAGGAUCUUGGGCUUCCUAGAAUCUUCAAAUCAAGAGGUUGGCUUUUGGCAAUGGGUCCUUCAGAGCCUACUAAUAUCCAGAUUGUCCAAGAAUUCUACGCAAACAUUCCUCCUUUCUCCGCCGAGCAGAAAACCUCACCUGGGUUGGGCCCUUUUGGUUCUUGUUUGUGGGAUGAGACUCUGCAUUUCUCUAGCGGUCGAGAAUACCCUGACUCAUUUGAUGUGUAUUUGCGAGGUAAGGUGUUAAAUUUCUCUGUUUCUGGCAUUGCCCAGUUACUUAAACUUACUAGGGCAAACCCAAAUGAAAAAUCACCUGGUUUUCCUGGGCUUGUUGUUGAUAAUCUUGACUUGAAGGUGGUGAAAUCUACUUUGGGUUGGAACAAGAGGGUCAGGGUUUUGCGUGAAAAUCGACUGAGUGAUUUGUACAAAGUGCUUAACAGCAUAGUGAGAUAUAAUAUCGAUCCUCCUUGUCACGUUAUCCCUUCUUUGCUUAGCAUUGAUAGAGCUCGCCUUCUUUAUGCCAUUGGGAACAAUGUACCUACUGAUCUGGCCACCUACAUUUUUCGUGCCAUCUGCCGUGCUGCAUUCCCAACUUCCAUGCCCGACUCCCUGCCUUUUACUUCCUUGAUCACACGCUUCGCCAUGGCUUCUCACGUGCCAGUUGAGCCUACGGAUAAGCUUUAUUCUCCUUGGUCGCCUUUGGACAACGUGGAUAUUUUUGGCUAUAGCUUUACUCCAUCUUCUCCGGCAGUCAAGCAACCUCAAGCCGUGGUGAGCCACACGCCCAGUAUGGCCAUACUUACCAAUGGCGUUGCUGAGCACAGGGGUGAUGUGCACCCCGUUUCCACCCACUCGGUCAUCCCACCUUCUUCGAAACAGCCAUCUGCAGGUCAGUCAAAUGUUAAUAGACAGACAUUAACAACAACAAAUGUAAUUUUCCUUAGAUUACACUUGGACAUUCAGCUUAUUACUGUAAAAUGCAUAGGCCCUUAUUGUUUUUAAGUGCAGGUGGUAAAAAUUUCCGAGGGUUUUCGUUGGUAGCAUCAUAGUUAGUAACAGAGUUGAACUUAUAGUAAGCAAUUAGGCAUCAAACAUGGCACGUUUCUGUGAUUAGUACUUAUGUCCUUCAAUUGUGUAUAUAUUGUUUGCAUGGUAAGUGGAAACCUUUAGAAGAUAAGCUCUCUGUUUGAAAUCACAUCUGUAUUCUUUUAAGGUUUGGUGUGAAGGAUAAACCAUGAAGUAGUCUACUAAUGCGAUAAUGGCUCAUAUUUUCACAUUUUCCUGUCUUCGUUGCCUCUGUUCUUGAAAACGUAUAAAGUGAUGGAGAGGUCUUAUUAUUUUUGGAAAAUAUUACAAUGUUCCCACAUCCCUGUAAUCUGUAUUUGACAGUGUACAUUGAUAAUAAAAUGAACGACUCAGAUACUUCAUGUGACAAUGAGGUAUGAACUUCAUCACAUUUUGUCUCUUUAAGGUUAUAAUAGUCACGAUGCAUUUCACACCUUUGCUGGUUUAGUCAAUGCUGUUAUACUUCAGAAUUCAGAUAGAUUAGAAUCAGAUGAUUGCUUUCUCUCUGCUUGUUACCAAAUACUCUGUCAGUUUAAUAUCUUUGUGUGUAAACAAUAUAAGAAAAACGAAUCUUUUCUCUUGUGCUGUUUUUGCUCUCUUUGAUAUUUACUUUCUCUCUGUGCUUGUGCUGAAGAAAUAAUGGAGGCUGAAGAAGAAAAUAACAGCAAUUUGAUUCCUAACUCACAUGCUUGUAUAAAUCCAUUAACUUCAACUUCUGACUCGCAUCCAAAUAAGAAAGUGAAAAAAGAUCCAUUGGAACAUGCAGCUGGUGAGGUGUCAAAGUUACUGCUGAGUGGUUUCAAAGAUACCUAACGUCAGUAGAUUGCAAGUUUUUAAAGCUGUACGCAUAAUAUUGAAUGGUAACCCAGAAGAAUUCUCUCUACUGAUACUCUUCCUGAUGUUGAGAAGACAAAGUGGAUACUCUUACUAAUUAGUCAAUCUGAAGGUAACUUUCUUGAUAAAAAUUGAGCCAAUAGCUCAGGGGAUAUAAAAUAGGUCUUAGACAUAAAGCCACUUAUCAACAUUUACUUUCUCUCAGGAAAAGAAGAAAGUUUGAGAUACGCUAUCCCUUCUGGCCAUGGUAUGGCUCUCUCUCUCUCUCUCUCUCUCUCUCUGUCUCUCUCUGUGUCUCUCUCUCUCUGUCUCUCUCUCUCCCUCUAACUUAAUUUCUAGUUCUGCAUUUGUUGUUUUAAUUUUAUGCUUUUAACAUGUCAAACCAAUACUUCACUCUGUAAGAUUACUACUUAAUAUCUAGAUAGAAGAGAGAUUUGAACUGAAAUAUCCCAAUUGUAAAUCCUUCUACUCCAAAUUAAAGAGAAAAAGAAAAGUAUGAACCAAUUGGACAGAAUAUACUUGCACAUACUCCCUCCUUGAAUGAGUUUCAGUAAGAAAGCUAGUGUAGCCAAUUGGACAGAAUUUACUUGCACAUACUCCCUCCUUUGAUGUAGUUUCCAAGUGCAUCACCUUAUGAUACCUCUUCAUGUUUUCAAUUAGUAUUGGCUUGUGACAUGCCAAUUUUCUGAGCUUUUAGGGUUCAAUUAUGUAGAUAGAAGAGAGAUUUGAACUGAAAUAUCCCAAUUGUAAAUCCUUCUACUCCAAAUUAAAGAGAAAAAGAAAAGUAUGAACCAAUUGGACAGAAUAUACUUGCACAUACUCCCUCCUUGAAUGAGUUUCAGUAAGAAAGCUAGUGUAGCCAAUUGGACAGAAUUUACUUGCACAUACUCCCUCCUUUGAUGUAGUUUCCAAGUGCAUCACCUUAUGAUACCUCUUCAUGUUUUCAAUUAGUAUUGCCUUGUGACAUGCCAAUUUUCUUCAAUGAUUAUAUACAGGGAGCAGAGUGGCCAAUUCUUUCCUUUCAUAAUUCAACAUCUUGUUCUGGGCACAUGGUAGAAGAUGCCUUCUUGUAAACAGACUUUUUGUAUUUGGUCAGGCUUGCAAUGCUCUAUUUUGUGGAUUUUAAGAUUGUAUUAGGCUUACUUGUGAGCUGCAAAAUGCCUUGUACCAAAGUUUAUGUAUAAAAUGUGUGCUAAAUCUUGUGUGUGGAGUACAAGAUUGAAGGUCUUCCUGGAAAAGCAAUCACAAGCAUUUUCUCUUUUCAAUUUGUAGAAAUGUUCAAGUUCUUGCCCAUCACUUGCAGAUAUAUAGUGUUGUGUACCAUAAAGGCUCCAUCAUAUGCAAUUCCAUCAAGGCUUGCAGGCCAAUCACUGCUUUCUCUUGGAUAUUACAAACAUUUGUAGAGCCAUAAUGAAAACUUGGUAGACAAACCCAAAUACGUGCAUUGACCAUUUGCUUAAACUUGAUAGGCUAGCAAGAGCUUGUAGCUCAAGUGGUUAAGAGUAUCUAUCCUUACACUUGAGGUCCUAGAUGUGAUUCCCUCCUCCCAAUAUCGCUUGUAACCAAAAACAAGCAAAAAAACUUGAUAGGCCAGACCCAGAUGAACCUGGUUUUCAUAAACUUGUUUGUCAGCUUGAUAGUGGCUUAUUAGAGUCCAAAUUGGUUGGGAAAGUAAUGUCCACCAGUUUUAGCAGAUACCCUUUGAGACAAUGUUGAACAGAGCACUUCACUUGAUUGUUAAUGACUAGGGCCCCAAGGGUAUGUUCUUGGUAUGUUACCUUAGGCCUAAGAUACUCUGUCUGUCAGAAGAGAAGAAUGGAGAAGAGGGUGAACAGUGCACGAGAUUGCUGGGUUUUUGCAAGUUAGAGAGAUGAAGAAGGUGGAAAAAUAAGGCACAAAUGGGAAGAUAGCUUGCAUUCUUCUUAUUUUUAACAGACUUUUAUAUAUACCCUACAACGUAAACUAGAAAAUAAUUAUAUAAAAUAAUGAAAUUCCAAAACUCUUUUGGAUCUGAAAGUCUAAAGGUUUUCAUUUCUUCAGUUUUCCUCUCACUCUUUGGUUCUCCAUCAAUUUAUUUUUCAUCAUUCUCUCAUCUCAUCCCUCCUUUACAUGUAUGCAAUCAUUGUAUAUUAAAUGAGGAGAAGUGAGGAGAUGAGUAGAGCUGGGUUCAGGGUUGGUGACAAAGAAAAUGAAAUCAAUCAAUGAUGGAGAUAGAUGUCCAAAGAAAAAUAUUUUGAUGAAGUAGAGAAAUUGUAUUUUUGGGAAGAGUUGAGUGUCUAGAGAAUGGUGAGAAUAAAAAUAGAAACCCAUUGAAACACCGAGUGUAAACAGAAUUCUUGGUAAUAUGAAAUUUCUCUUUCACAUUCAAGGAGUCAAAUCACAUGAAAAGUUUAUGAAGGAACUAUGUUGUAACUACUCUUAACAACUUGAGCUAUACGUGUCAAGUUAGAUCUUCAAUAAUGUAGUAACACACUCUUCAAUAAUGUCUCACAAUGUUAGAUCUUUCAUAGUGAAAAUUAAAUUGAAGAGUGAGAAAGUGAUUUCUAAGAGCAACUCCACCGCUCAAGAUUGAGCUAGGGCAAUCAGUGGGUCCCACCAACCUGGGCAGGCCCAAAGGCAAUUCUUGCAUGGGCUUCAGCCCGAGGGCGGUGACAUCAGCGCACGGUAAUUCAAAUUUUUUUUACCGUUGGUGCGUGAAUUACACGCGCCAACAGUAAAAAAAUUUGACUUCCGCGCGCUAACGUCAGCCCUGAUAGACUCUAAUGGCCAUUUGACACGUAUCGCAACCGGGCUUCUCCGAUGAGUUUUUUUCCAGAAAUCCAACGGUCUUUGUUUUUUUGGCUAAAAAAAUUCCAAAAAAAUUCUGAAAUUUUUUUAAAAAAUACCAAAAAAAUUCUGUAUUUUUUUUUCCUAUAAAUACCUAACUAUUUUAUUUACUUUCCACACUAAAUCUUCAUACAAUUUCUUCUCCAUCCAAUAUUUUUUACUCUCCACUCACAUUAUUCACUUCCCACACCAAUUCUCCAUACAAACUCUUCUCCUUCCAAUAUUUUUUACUCUCCACUCACAUUUUUCACUUCCCACACCAAUUCUCCAUACAAAUUCUUCUCCUUCCAAUAUUUUUUACUCUCCACUCACAUUUUUCUACUACUUUCCAUUUGUAAAAAAAAAAAAAAAAACAAAUGGCAUCUUCUGUCGAAACCGGAGGCUCGUGGUCAACUCAGGAAGAUAUUGCAUUGUGUCAGUAUUAGGUGAACGUUAGUAAUGAUCCUAUCACGGGCAAUGAGAUGAAGUUCCAUCAUAUGUGGAGUAAAAUUCAUGGAGAAUUUUGUCAAAGAUCGGGUCCCAUUCGGACCGAAAUAGCCUUGUCUAGUAGAUGGAAACUUCUGAAUAAAGAGUUAGGGAAAUGGAGAAAUGCCUUGACAAAAACAAGGGAGAACAUUCGAAGCGGUCAAAAUCUAUCCGAUGAGGUAAAAUAUUUAUAAUUGUCAUUUUAAUAAAUUUAAUGUAAUUUUUUUUUAUUGCAUAUUCUAUGUCUUUUUGUUGCAUAAUCUUUUUUUUUUCUUUUUGCAUUUCCAAUUUGUCUAUAUUUUCUUGCAUAAUCAAUUUCAUUCUUGCAUUUCAAAAUAGUUUAUAUUUUCUUGCAUAAUAAUUUUUUUUCUUGCACUUCCAAUCAUUUAUUUUUAAUAGAUCAUACAAGCACAAAUGUGGUUCGGUGCCAUGGGGCAAGGCAAAAAAAGUUUCGUGCAUUUCCAAUGUUGGGAAGUUGUGAAAGAUUGUUCAAGAUUCAAAAUUAUUCCCACCGGUCCAACAGUUUUGUUGAAUGAGACGCCGCUUCACGAUUCACCAUCAACCGAUUCGCCAUUGGACUUCCCAAUGGAAACGGAGUCACCACUCCCACGUCCGCCAAGACCUAUUGGGAGAAAGGCGGCAAAGGCCAAGAGAGGGGGCACUUCAAACAAUGAAUGUAUACAAUUAUUGGAGCAAAUAGCUAAGAACACCUCACUAAGAAUUGAGAGAGACUUGAAAAGAGAUGAAGUGGACAAGGCACGAGAGGAAGCAUUUGUAAUUCAACAGCAGCAGGCACAAGACAAAGACAUGGAUGAUAGAGAGAUGAAAAUCAUGGCCAUGGAUACGAGCCAUAUGUCUCCUGAAACCAAGGCCUAUUGAAAGCAUAGACGAAGAGAUGUGAUGAGAAGAAAACUUUUCCAUGACGAUGAACCUAGCAAUACGGAUUGGUUAAAUGAUGAAAACCAUUAAGUUUUAUUGAAACACCUUUGCCAUAUGUUGUAUUGUUGUAUUGUUGUAUUAUCCUUUAAUUUAUUGUAUUGUUUCCUUUUCAUUAAAUAAAAAAAGUAUUAAAUAAUAUGACUAUUUAUUAAAAACAUUUGAGCAUCAAAAUAAAGAUUAAUUAAAAACAAACCUUAAUUUAUUGCAAACAACACACAAAAUAAAUCAUACAUAAAAGCAUAAUAAUAAUAAAAAAGAUAGAGAUGGUGUAGUUUUAUAGAGGGAUUCAGAAGAUAGAAAUGACACGUGGCACAAUUUUAGAGGAUGAAAAUCUUAUCUGAAAUAUGAGAUUAUAAUUUUUAAAAAAUAUCUGAAAAUCUUAUCUAACAGAGAUAACACUUGGCACAAUUUUAGAGGGUGAAAAUCUUAUCUGAAAUAUGAGAUUAUAUUUUUUUUUUAAAUAUCUGAAAAUCUUAUCUGACAUGGGACACGUGACACAAUUUUAGAGGUGAAAAUGUUAUCUGAAAUAUGAGAUUAUAAUUUUUUUUAAUGAAUAUCCGAAAAUUUUAUCUGGAAUAAGACAUGUGGCAACUAAGAUUCUCAUUCGAAAAUCUUUUCUGAAAAAUAAUGGACAUGUGACAGUAAAAAGUAUUAUCCGAAAAUUUAAUUACAAAAGAUUAUCAAAAUUAAUAGUUUAAAGUAUAAAAAAAUAGGAAAUAAAGUACAAUGAAUAGUAUUUACCUUAGACUUGCCCUAGACUUAACCCUCAUGGGUGGAACCACAAAUGGCAAGGCUGCCACUAUUCAUGUGACUAUUCAUGUGAAUAGUCACAGCCCUUGCUUACCCUUGCCCUAGACUUAGCCCUUAUGGGUGGAAUUGCUGUAAAAAGUUAACAUCAAAAGACCCUUAAAAAGUAUGUGAUCAUUCUCAAUAUGGACCCCCAUAUUUCAAUUUCAUUAUUUUACUCCCACGGUUUUCAAAUUUGCUCAAUUUACUUUCCGUCACAUUAACUGCUAACGUGUCUACUGUGAGACACAGCCACUUAUCAAUCCCCAUCCCAUCUAACAUGUAAUAAAACAAAAACUAAAUAUAUGAUAUUAAAAAAAAAGAAAAAAAAAAGAAGAGGCAUAUAGCCUUCCCCAUCACUCUCACCGACGCACAGUCGCACCACCCGAUCCCCCUCCCUUUCUUCGUCCUCUCUCUCUCUCUCUCUCCCUCUCUCCCUCUCUCCGUCCCUUUCUCCCCCAUCCCAUCUUCUCGAGUUCUCUGAUUCCCCCCCCCCUCUUCGCGAUCUACCUCUCCUUCGAGAGGCUUCUCGAGUCCAGGCCCUGCGAUGCCGAUCAGACCUAGCUCAUCGAUCGCUCUCUCCAAUUGGGCUCUGUGCUCCUCGAGGCUGCUAAUCGUUCUGCGAGAAAACCAGCCUCCAAGCACAACUCUCUCACCUGUACUCUCCCCUCAAACCUCCCUCCAAGCACAAUUUGUAUAUAUUGAUAGGGAUGGGGAGCUGGGAGGAUAGUGGGACGGAGAGAGAGAGGGGGGGACGAAGAGAGGGAGAGUGCUCUGGUGGGGAAGAGCCAGGUGCGCCGCUAUCACGAACACAUUCAGACCACGAGCUGACGCAAGUGGAAAUCAUGCUUCUCUGUUUUUCUAGUUCUGUAGUCGCCGCUAAUCAUGCUGCUUUGAUUUUCCAUUGAUGUUUGCUUUGUUACUCUCAAAAAGUUUCCUUCCUUUAUUUUUUAUUUAUUUCGAUAAUGAAAUUUGAAAUUUGAAUUGUGUGUUGCUUUGUUACUCUCAAUAAAUCUUCCUUCUUUUUCUUUUUUCUUACAGGAAUUGGGUUUUGGUGUUUCACCAACGAGCUGACGCCAGAGAGAGAGGGAUGGGGUUGGUGUGGGUGCGAUUGAGGGGUGAACAAGGGGUGCUGGGUUUGUUGGGCUGAGGAAGGGCUGGGAUUUUUUAAGGUAUUUUUAUUUUAUUUUAUUUUAUCACUUUAUAUAAAUUUUUUUAGGAACUGAUUAGUUAGUGGGCGGAUCCCGAUUGCCCAUAUUGAGAAUAACCCCAAAUGUCUUUUGAUGUUAGCUCAUUUCUAAAUUUGUAGAGUGAGGGAGUGACCACAGUUUUGAUAUAUUGGUGUCUAUUUUUAUUGGAGCUGAUUUUGUUUGCCUCACCUUACCAGUGGGUAUAUUCCUGGUAAAUAAUAUUGCAACUCUUGCGCUUUUAGAAAUUGUGUGUAUAGUUUUAGAAAAUGGGUCAUGUAAUUUUAAUAUAAAAUUGCUACAAACUCUUGUCAACCCUGGAAAGUUCAGUCCAAGUGGACGAGACAUGCUCUCUCUUAUUAAAAAUGCUAUACAUGUACACCAUGCUUUUGUCCUCAAAUUUGGACUCGUUAUACAGUAUAGACUACUUUAUUUAUGUACUUGGCUAAGAGUUCGAUUAUUUUCCUCCCCUUUUCUUAAAUGGAAAUCAUCUCUAGUUCUUUUCACCCCUAACAACAUAUGGAACUGCUGAGUUCAUAACUUUUCUAUUGUUUAUCUUUUAUGCAUAAAAUUAUAUCUUGUUUUUUUACUGGGUAAUUCAAAACUUGGAAACUCCUUCGACGACUUUACUAAAAAGGAUUUAGGUUUUUUUUACUAAAAAGUCAGUAUAGUAUGAAUACCUAUUUGAUACGAUGUAGGUUUUUUUUUUUAAUUUAAAAAUUUAUUGAAAGGAUUUUUAAUUAUUUGUAUUGGCACUAUUAAUUUUGCCACAGAAUUCUCAGAGGUUUAGUAAUUUGCUUUUACAAAUACCAUGAUCGUUUUGGGAAAUCUCUCUUUCUGGAGGCAGAUUCCAGAGCCGUUUAAGGGAAAUUCGUAGUCGAGCUACCGAUGUUCAUGAUAAGGAAAAGGGAAUCAAGAUUACUGAGAAGGAUUGGGAAAAGUUGAAUGUACAAUUGCUUCAUACAACAAUUUUCCUACUGCUGCUGGAUUGGCUUCCUCAGCAGCUGGUUUUGCUUGUCUUGGUAACCGAUAAUACCCUAUUUUGGAUCAUAUUAUUGUUAAUUUGUUAUAUGAUUAGUGCCUUAACUUUGAGAACUCAUGACUGUUAAUAAUGUUACUUGGGUACCGGAUUAAUCAUUCUUUGCCAAUAGAUAGUAGUUAAGCAACGAGCAUAUCAUAGCUAAGCCUCUGUUUCUACUUGCAGUUUUUGCCCUCGCAAAGUUAAUGAAUGCGAAUGAAGAUCACAGCCAGCUUUCUGCUACUGGAAUCAAUCUGAGAUUUUAAUAAGCCAUCGCAAUCUGACUAAGUUUUACAGAAUACUUAACACAAUAGUAAGUGCUGAUAUCGACCCUGAAGAACGUCUCCUUGACAGUAGCUUAAUUGAUUUUGACAGAGCAAGCCUCCUUUAUGCCAUUGGGAAUAAUAAUGCGUCCAUUGAUCAGCCCGCCCACAUUUUCCGAGCCAUUUGCCUGGCUGCAACCCCAGACGACUACUACGAAACUCAUUCCCUGCCUUUUGGGUCGUUGAUCACUAGGUUUGCCAUGGCGUCUAAAGUGCGAAUUGAUCCUACGGAUCAGCUUAAACAACUUAUGCCACCUAUCAACUAGAUGAUGUUUCAUAAUGAUCAGACAGAUGAAACAAGUGAAGAAUCUGUUGUUGGAUUUACUCCUCCUCCUGCACCUGCUUCGGAGCCAAGUCCUCCACAGCUUAAUCAGCCUCCUCUGUCCCAGACAAAAAGCUUUGAGAAGUUUUCUAUAAAGCUGAGAAAGCGCAUGGCCCGACUUGCCAAUGAGGUCGUUAAGCUCACCGGUUGCGUACAUUGGGGCAUCCCAUUGAAAGAGCCAUUUACAGGUCAUUCUAAUGUUGAGCUUGCUUUAGUUUAUAUGUGUUUUUGUCCUUUUCAGCUUUGUUAAACCCUGUCUUCAACUUUCAUUUCUAAUCCAUUGAUUAUCUAUGAGUUGUUAGGCUUUUGUUUCCAUUUGUUUAUUCAGUUGUUCUUCUUUUAUACCCUCUCAUUUGUUUCUGCUCCUCUGUCUUAUGAUUUUCCACUUCCACUUAUCACUCCCUUGUCAUACACACUUGCAGUACAAGAUAAAUAGAAUCUGAAGUUUGCCUUGUUCUGGAUGAUAAAUAGAAUUCUAUUUAGUUAUAUAUUUUCAAAGAUACAAGUUAAAUAAAGACGAUGUAGCGAGCACCAUAAGCUUCAAAAGAAUUUUCCUAGUUCUAGGCUUAAGUAUAUUUUUUAUCUAAAGGACCUCUGAGUUGACUGCAGGAACUGAUUCAGCCUAAUACUGUAAAAGAAUUGUCCCUUGAAUAUCUUUUUAUGUACAGCUGGUAAGAAAAUUUUCGGGUUUUUACUGGUGGAAGGAAAGUAAUAAACUUGAAGUUAGCAACUAGCACUGAAUGCUUCUGUGGUUAGUGAUUUAGUAUUAAAGAGAAGCUCUGUUUCUGAUCAUAUAUGUAAGAUUGAUUUUGAUUGCAUUAAUUAGUAAAAAAGAUAAGCUCUGUUUCAGAUCAUAUAUGUAUUCUUUUAGUCAACUAAUGAGAUGGGGUGGUUAACAUUUAUUUAAGUGUGACUGGAACAGUUUUGAGUGAUGAAUUUUCCUAUUUUCACUAGGGAGCUGCCUUUGAAUUUGAUAUUUUCGGGAGUGAUUCGAUGCUUUUCUCUCGUUUGAAAACUUAACAAAAUUAAAUAUUCACAAUAUUCCCCAUCGUCUGUAUAAUAAAAAUGAAACUGCUUCUACAUGUGAUUAUGAACUCCAACACAUCUUGUGUCCUUGUGGUUGUAAUAGUCAGCAGUUAAUGCACUUCUUUGCUGCUUUAGUGGAUGUUUUUUAUGCUUUACUUUCUCUCUGUUAUUGUGCUGAAGAAAAUAUGGAGGUUAAACAAGAAAAUGAUGAGAAUUUUAUUCCCAACUCACAUACUUCGACACAUCUAUCAACUUCAAUUUCUGGCUUGCAUCCAAAUAAGAAAGCGAAAAAACAUCCAUUGGCACAAGCAAUUGGUGAGGCGGCAGACUCACAAAAGGAGUUUUCGGCAAGUCAAAUGAACCGCAACUCAGAGGAGAGGAUGUACUUGCAGUGGUCUCAAAGAUACCGAACUUCAGUAGAUUGCAAGUUUUGAAGGCCGUACACAUGUUAUUGAAUACUGCUUAUUAGUAAAUCCUGGGUCUAACUUUCUUGAUAAAUGAUGCUGAGUGAGCCAAUUAUUUCUCAGGGGUUUAAACUUUUGCAUAGAGAGACACUUAUCAGCAUUUACUCUCUCUCUCUCUCUCUCUCUCUCAUUAAUCCAGUAUUAGGAGUGAUCUUGCUUUUUAUUCUUUUCAUAUACAAUAUUAUUGAUAUCCUUUUAUGUCCUUUUACACACACUGAGCUUCUUGACAUGUUCUGGGCUUUUAAUCAUGCUUCAAAGACAUACUUUAAAUCCAUUUAUAUAUCUUCUUUAUCUAUUUAUUUCUCUUGUUUGAGAGGAGGUAUUAUUUCUCUUGUUCAUUAUACUAAUGUAAUUUACACGGAAAGGGGUUUGAACUUCGGUGUAAGGGGUAAGCUCACCAUCUUAUCCAAUUAGCCUAACCGCAUUUGCAGAUGUAUACAAAUACAAUGAUAUAGUCCAAACUACUCUAAAUCUAAACUACUAGGGCAUGUUUGGUAGGGUUCACUAGAUAGGACUAUGCUAAAUUGAACCUGAAACCCAUGUUUGGAUAGAAAGGGGACUAAUUUAAAUGGGAUUGUAGAGCCCAACAGUAACAAAAACCCCUCACUCGUUCUCCUUAUACAGAGAAGCUGAAAAUGGGUUCACAAAAUAAGCGCUUCGUUAUAUUGAACACGCGACAACGCCUCUCUCUCUAGUUCUUGACUUCGCCCUCUAUCUAGUUCGCGACUCGACCUCUUCUUUGUUCAACAUCGACUCCUCUUCUUCGAAUCUUGACCCAGGCAAGUUUUUCUGGUCUUUCCCUUUGGAUACCUCUCUUUUCCUUCUUCCACCUCUUUGAUUUUUGCAAUUGUCCUCAACAAUUUUGACUCUGUGCUCUGAAUCUCUCCUUCCUUUUCUCUGUUUUUUGUUAUUCUUUUCUCUAAUUUUCGUAGAAUCCAUAUCUACUGUAGCGACAUAUAUAUAUUUGAUGUUAAUUGACAAUUAAUUUGCAAUGGGUAUUUAAGAAAGCCUAGAAAUUCAGAAUCUUGAGUUUAGAGUAGACUUUUGGCAUGAAUCUUGAGUUUAUUGAACUUACUGGUUCAUGUGGGAUGAUGCAUCUUUGUGGUUUCAGUUUUUAAAUAAGAUGCUCUCCUUUCAUCUUAUUUAAUCUGAAUAAAAAUAAGAUGUUUCUUUUCUGAUGUACGCAAUUCAUACCAGUCUCAUGUGUGACUAUAUUCAAUAGGAUUUGAGACAUGAUGACUAAACCUUCUGAAUAUCUUUCUAUGGCACUUGGUGGCUGGACUGAGGAUUUCUUGUAUUUUCAUGAGUUGUAUUCAUUGGAGACUUUUAAUAGGUACCUUAACAUGUAAAAUGGCUGCAUCUUGCCUACCAUCAUCUACUUUCAGACACCACAUAUAUAAUCUCACAGUUGAGGUGUAAGUUUUGAAGUGGAGCCUCAACUUAGGCUCUCUGUUAGAACGUCUCCUUUAAGUUCUCAUUUUGGGUAAAUGAGAUUCUGUAUUCACUCUAACUGUAUUCAAUUAGAUUAACUAACAUAAGAAUGUCUCUACCCUUUUUUUCUUUCUUUUUUAUAUUUUCCCUAUUUCCCCAUGGUCAUAAUUUACAGGCCUUUGUCUUAACUCUGGCACUACCUAGGUCUGCCAAUUUUCUUUUUUCUUGGUUGGUGAUUUAGUGCUAAAAGAUUACACAGAGGAAGAUUAGUAUUUGUUUUAUGCUUGCUGUUGAGUUUCUUUUGUAGCUAUGAGGUUGCCAUUUCUUAUAAAAUUUUUGCCAAAAAGUCAUACUAGGUUACCAUUUGGAUAGAAGGUACAUCAAAUCUUGAUUUGGGCCUUUUUGUUUGCUCAUGUCAUUGUGGUAAUGUUAUAGGUAGCUGGUGUGAAAUUAAAAAGAAAAAAACAGAGUUUGCAUUGCUAUUUUAUUAUUCAGCAUUCCAUCAGUUGUUUUAUGCUUGCUGUGGAGUUUCUUUUGUAGCUAUGGGGUUGCCAUUUCUUAUAAAAAUUUUGCCAAAGGUUACCAUUUGGAUAGAAGGUACAGCAAAUCUUGAUUUGGGCCUUUUUGUUUGCUCAUGUCAUUGUGGUAAUAUUAUAGGUAGAUAGAAUCUAACAAUUCUUUACAGUUGACUCUGGUGUGAAAUUAAAAAGAAAAAAAACACAGUUUGCAUUGCUAUUUUAUUGUUCAGCAUUCCAUCAGUGAUGGGCAGCUUGCAACUUUCUUUUAGUGAUUGGCAUGGGCAAAGUCCUUCUAAUGUCCUCUCACCACAUGUGGACAUUAUACCAGUAGAGCAAUUUCUCCUUUAUAUGAGAUAGAGAGACCAAUUACUCAAAAAUGAAUAAAAUACCAACAACAAAUUAAAGAAAACAGAGCAUCUGACACUGUUGGCCAUGUCAAAGCAAAGUCAUGCUAUGUUUUUUCUUUUUGUUUGGAGAAAGAUAUGUAGUUUUGGAGUUUGCAAUUGUGACAAAUCCCCUGUGAUUGAUUGUAUCUGUCAUUUGACAGAGCAAUUUGCGUCCUACAUGAGUAUCAAUUGAUUUUGGUCUCUCAAAUAAGAAAAUGCAAUAAAUAACAUGGUGUUCAUUAGCAGCAGCAGCAUCUUUUGGCCAAAAGUGAAAUAAUUCUGCGAUUUUUUUCUUCAUAUUUGUUGUGGUAUUAGGCACACGUUGGUUGAUAAUUUGGUCCAUUUGGGGCAAAUUUUCCAUACUUUGCAAUGGUAUUAAUUAUGGCUUUGUAGUAAUUGUUCUGUUUCAUAGAAACAUAUGAAACUGUUCGUUUUCAAUUUUUGGGGUUAUUUCACUUUCAAUAGAAUUGGUUAAGUGCAAUAAUUCUUUUCUUUUUUGAUUAAUAGAUAUGGAUCAUGCUUAGAAACAAAGUUACGCUUUUUUGGCAGAUUCCAAUUAUUGAUUAUGGUAUUAUUUUAUUUGUGCUGAUUAUUCUUAGGAAAGGAAAAUAAAGGUAACAGUCAAAACUUCGAACAAGGAAGAAAGGGACUAGGCGGUCAUGGUCCACAAAAUACAUCUAUAUUCAUGUCUUUGGAUGAUGAUAUCAAGAAAGUGUUUGUUGAGCAGUUGCUUAGUGACAAUGCUUGAGGACAUGGCCUAGCUAAAUUUAAUGCAUCUAUCUUUUUGGAAACACCAAAAAUGAUGCAUUGAUAAGAUUGGCUUCAUUUUGGAAACACCACAAAUUGUAUAACAUAUUGCUAGCAUUAAAGCCAAAUGGUUCAUGGUUGUGAGGUUUAUUAGUUCAUUUUGAAAUUGUGGAUGUUUAUUUGUAUGUAUUAAUGGUAGAAUUGUGUGUAGUGAACUGGACUUCUAAUUUCUGAGUAAUGUAGAUGACUUUGGCAUAUAUGAAGAAUUUCUAACUUUUGCAUAUAUGAAAUGUAUAUGUCAAUUUGGUUUGGAGAAAAAGAAAUGUAUAUGACAAUUUGGUAAUUCUAAUAACAAAAAAAACUUACAUUUAAUUAUUUAAAAAUAUUAUUUUUAAAUAUAAAAUAAUUAUUUUUUAGUCCUACAUAGCACCAAACAUAGGUCUUCGCUAUUUUUACAAUCCAGCUUUUUAGUCCGACACAGCACCAAACGUAUGUCAGUACUUAAUCCAGCUUAGUCCAAUCUGAGCUAAUCCAAGAUAAUCCUAGGAUUUAGUCCAGUCCAUGACAGUCCGCCGUACCAAACGACCCCCUAUAUUACUUUCCUUCUAUAGUCAAUAUAUAUGACUUUUGCCCUUCAAACUAAUUAUGUCUUACCUACAAUCCAUUAUUUUAUCUACUAUAUUACUUUCCUUCUAUAGUCAAUAUAUAUGACUUUUGCCCUUCAAACUAAUUAUGUCUUACCUACAAUCCAUUAUUUUAUUUUAUUUAUAAAUAAAACCCAAUGAUUGGAUCCGACUCAUCAAUUUACCUAAUUAAAUUUAAAAUUUUGAUUUAUUGUACUUUUUUUAGAUUAAAAAUAAUAAUUAUGGAUAAUUAAUCUACCUAUGCAAUCUCGGCAAAUUCUUAUACCUACAAAAUAUAGGUAAAUUGGUACCCUUUUUUAAUUUUAUAAAUAACGUGCCUAUUUUUUCAUAACUAAUGUACCUAUUUAUUUUAUAGAACUAAUUCAAUAGCAACGUUUUUUUAAAAUAUAGAAAUAAUGUACCUAUUUUCUUAUAAUUAAUGUACCUUUUUUUCUUUAAAAAUAUUUACGUAUUCAGAAUCUCGCCCCUAUUCUGACUGAGAAUUGCUCCUCAAUCAAUCAAUAUGCAUCUCACCACCCAAGCUCUCUUUCUUCACUGGGACCGUGUUUUGUUCUUUAUUUAUUUUUAUUUUUUUUUCAUUUUAGUUGUUGUUUAAUUUUUAAACUUGUGUUUUUUAAUAACCAUUAUAUUAUCAUUUAUAUCCAAGGGCGAAUGACCACAAAUUCCUUGGACCACAGGAGUUCAGAAGAACGGGACCGAGUAAUUCAUAUACUAAUCAUUUAUCGAGCAACAAAACAAAUCAAAUCAAAGAAUCAGAAUGCAAAAUGAAGGAAGCUGCUCCGAAACUCUAUGAUCAGAUAUCCAACACUAAAUCUACUUAAGUGUUUCGUGAUCAUCACUAUAAUAAGAGAAACUUUCGUGUGUAAUUGUAAGACCCCAUGUUUAACCUAAAUUAUAGGGGCAUUUCAAAAUAGACUUGGUCAAUAACCAAACUCUCAUAUUAUAGUUGUUGAAUAAAAACCCAUUAUUCAUUUAUUAGUAUCAAUAAAUAUAUAGGCAUUAUAUUAAUAUUAGGUUGAGUAGAGAUAUUUCCACAUGUUUCACUUAAGUCAAGUUCACAUUUGCAAAAAGAUAUUUGUAACUUGUGCCCAGGGGAUGGGAUGCAAAGCCAUUGAUUGAGUGGACACGGGAAGGCACCUUACCAAGUCAAGUCAAGUCAAUACCUGCAAGUCAGUUGGAGCACGCGUUGAAGGGCACCAUAUCAAGUCACAAGUCUUCAUUUAUCUUUUUCCACAUAGUGACAUGAAUUAAAGUGGUGAGUCUCUCUUCCUUUUGUUCACCCGUGUCCUUCAUAUUCACUUUUCAGUCUUUCAUUUGAAAACACUACAAUAGCACACUUUCCAAAGAGAUUCCCAAGCAGCUUAUUGGCCUUUCGAGUUCGGGGAAAUUAGCAAGUGGAAAAAUAAUUUUCCGGAGCUUUGUCUCUACGACAAGUUGGCUUUCCAAAAAAUCGAAAAGACUUUACAGUCUUUUUGUGUGAGUCAGUCAUCAUGAGUUUGCAUACGAAGACUUCAAAGUCUCCUUGAUGAUAGUCGUCCACAGCAAGCUCCCAACGUUAUAAAUUACUAAGAUGGACAAAUGCUCAAUAAAAUUUAAUUAGGAUAAUUAGUUGAUUUAAGGAAUAUCUCUUUUUCUGGUGUCAUUUUUUAUUGACCGGAGAAAUAUGUGUAUCCGCAUAUCCUACAUUGAUUGUCUUAGUAAUUUCCUUUGCAUCUAAAAAAAAUUUAUUUAACCCUAAAAAAAAAAUAUUACUCCAUCUUGAAAUGUUUCCCCUUAACCUUUGCCACACUAAUCACAAAGUAUACUAGUAAAUGUUUCAAACCACGUAGGAUAAUUUUUUGGGAGAUUCACUAUUAUACCCAAUAUAAGAGUUCAAAUUUUUUUUUUAAAAAAAACCUAUAUGAAAUGGGCUUUAGAACACACCCAAAACCCAUUUACAACAUAACAAAAAAGCUUUUAACUUCUUUUAAAGUACAAAACUGUCAUUGAUUUCUUAAAACAAACUCAACCCAAAAACCUCAUAAAAAAGCUUAAAACACUCAAUAGGGUAUCAAAGUAAUUUAAUAAUCAAAAUUAAAUUAAAUAGAUCCGGCUGUCAUUUUUUGAGUUUAUUUACAAAAAUUAAAUGGUGUGGGGUUAAUUUAUAAUUUUAGUGCUAAGAAUGGGUAAAUAUUUAUAAUUUUUUCAAGCAUUAUUGUAGAGAUAGCAAUAUAGUGCUAUUCCCGUUACAAAAAAAUAUUUUUCCUUUUGAAUGAUACAUUCAUAUGUAUUUGAAAUUGAACCUACAUACACAGGGUGGUUGUCCACAUGGCAUGGUAUGAGAGCAUCAUUGAGCUAUGUCACUAUUCAGCAAAACAGUAUGUUGUGUCACCGAGCGUACACAAUUCUUUUUAUAUUAAAAAAUUAACCAAAAUUUUAAAAAUAGUAUUUUUAUUUUAUUGAAAUUAAAAAAUAGUAGUAUGAACACUACAUCUAUCAUCCUCCUUUUUCCAACAAAAGAAAUCUUAGUAGAUCUUUCUCUGCAAACUCUUCAUCAUUUCUAACUAGUCUAAUCGAACAGUCAACACCUACUUGACGUGUGGUUGUGGAGACUUAAAAGCCUUUGAAAAUUUUACUCCUUUAUAUGGUUUUGUCUUAUAUGAAUGUGUGGCACUGUUUUAGCUAAACCAUGUUUUUCUUUGUAAAAGUUUUCUUCCUUUUUUCCUAUAUAUAUAGUUAGUGUGUAAUUAUAAGACCCUAUAUAAUAUUAACCUAAAUUAUGGGGGCAUUUCAAAAUUGACUUGGUCAAUAACCAAAGUGUUUUGAAAAGCUCUCGUAUUAUAGUUGUUGAAUUAAAACCCAAUUUUCAUUUAUUAGUAUCAAUAAAUAUAUAGGUAUUAUAUUAAUAUUGGGUUGGCAAGAGAUAUUUCCAUAUGUUUCACUUAAGUCAACCUCACAUUUGCAAGAAGAUAUUUAUAACUUGUGCCCGGGGGAGGGAUGCAAAACCAAUGGUUGAGUGGACACUGGAAGGCACCUUACCAAGUCAAGUCAAGUCAAUAUCUGCAAGUCAGUUGGAGUACGCGUUGGACGGCAAAUCACCAUAUGCAGUUUAUGUCACAAGUCUUCAAUCUCAUAUAUUAAUUUCUCCAAUGUUCAUUAAUUUACUACUUGUUUACUUGGACUACUGACAAAUUUUUCUUCAAAUAUCUUUUUCCACAUAUCGACUUGAAUUAAAGUGAUGAGUCUCUCUUCCUUUUGUUCACCCGUGUCCAUAUUCACUUUUCAAUCUUUCAUUUGAAAACACUACAAUGGCACACUUUCCAAAGAGAUUCCCAAGCAGCUUAUUGGCCUUCCAAGUUUGGGGAAAUUAGCGAGUGGAAAAAAAAUUUCCGAAGCUUUGUUUCUUCGACCAGUUGGCUUUUCAAAGAAAGAAAAAACAUAAAAAUGGUAAAAUAAAGUAAUUGAGCAAUUAAAAAAGCAAAAAGAAAAAAAAAAGGAAUUACCGUUUGUUGACGUUUGAGUUAAAUGUGUAUGUGCAACGACUUAAAACUCUAGUUUACACUCUUUGUGGAACCAAAAAAUUGAAAAGGCUUACCAGUCUUUGUGUGUGUCAGUCAUCAUGAGUUUGCAUACGAAGACUUCAAUGUCUACUUGAAGAUAGCUGUCCACAGCAAGCUCCCUACCCAAAGUUACAAAUUACUAAGACGGACCAAUGCUCAAUAUGACAGGACCCACCCUGAAUUUCUCGGAACUUGAGACGAAUCCUGUGAAAAACUAGUACAUCCCUCCAAUGUCAUGCCCACUUACCAAAACUAUAGCCUCUUUUCCAAAUUAAGGAAAAAAGGUACGAGACUUUUUGCCAAAAUUUCGGCAGAGUCUCCCCUGUAAAUUGGACUUUCUCCAAAUUUUUUUAACCUAUUAAAAAUACAAUUAACAUCCACAACUAGUAGCAUGCACAACUAGUAGCAUGCACAAUUUAACCUUUAAGCAGUUUACGAACUAGGCCUCUGGCCUUUAACAAUUCAGUCAGUUGGGGCACGCGUUGGAAGACAAAUCACCACAUUAAGUCUAAGUCAAUAGUUGCGUUGAAAGGCAAAUCACCAUAUCAAGUCGAAGUCACAAGUCUUCGCGAUCUCAUCCAUUAAUUUCCCCAAUAUUCAUUGAUUUAUUACAUGUUUACUUGGACCACUGACAAUUUUUUCUUCCAUUAUCUUUUUCCACAUAGUAACAUGAAUAAGAGUUGGUUGUACCUUGUACAUUUUUUUUCUCCUUCUUUUUUGAAAUUUGGUAUAGUCCAGUUCUGAUGACAUAAGUGAAAUUGAACCUAUAUCUAAGAGCUCCUUUCAAAGAAAAAACAUAAAAAUGGUAAAAUAAUGUAAUUGAGCAAUUAAAAAAGCAAAAGGGAAAAAAAAGGAAUUACCAUUUGUUGACGUUUGAGUUAAAUGCGAAUGUGCGAAGACUUAAAAGUCUAGUUUCCACUCAAGUAUGUGGACUUAAUAGUCUUUUUGUGGAACCAGAAAAUUGAAAAGACUUUACAAUCUUUUUGUGUGAGUCAAUCAUCAUGAGUUUGCAUACGAAGACUUCAAAGUCUACUUGAAGAUAGGUCCACAGCAAGCUCCUUGCCCAACGUUACAAAUUACUAAGAUGGACCAAUGCUAAAUAGGAUUUAAUUACGAUAAUUAGUUUAUUUAAGGAAUACCUCUUUUUCACGUGUUAUUUUUUUAUUGACCGGUGAAAUAUGUGUUUCCAUAGAUCCCGCAUUGAUUGUCCUAGUAAUUUCCUUUGCAUCUAAAGAAAAUGUAUUUAACCCUAAAAAAAAUGUUACUCCAUCUUGAGACGUUUCCCCUUAAACUUGUUUGCCACACUAAUCACAAGGUAUACUAGUAAAUGUUUCAAACCACCUAGGAUAAUGUUUUCAAGCAUUAGGAGAUAGCAAAAUAAUGUUAUUCAUGUUAUAAGAAAUAUUUUUCCUUUUUGAAUGAUACAUUCAAAUGUAUUUGAAAUGGAAUCUACAUAUACGGGGUGGUUGUUCACAUGGCAUGGUAUGAGAGCAUCAUUGAGCUAUGUCACUAUACAACAAAACAGUAUGCUAUGUCACCCAAUGUACUCAAUUCUUUUUAUAUUAAAAAAUUAACCAAAAUUUUAAAAAUAGUACUUUUAUUUUAUCGAAAUUAAAAAAUAGUACUUGUAUUCCUGCAUCUUACUUUUUAACUCAUGCAUCAUAAUUAAUUUGGAAUCUAAAGUACUUAAUUUAAUUACCUCCAUAAUAAAGAGAUUCGAAUCUAAAGUGUUGAUGCUCAAAAUGGCCCGGCCAAUAUUGAGUCCAACUUAGUGAUUAGAUGUGCUGAGUCUUCAGCAGAGAAGAGGGCUGAGGCCCUUGGUGAAAUGGGUUGGUGAGAGACCUGUAGAAGGUAAAAAGAGGAGAAGCAAUCGUCAAGCUUCGGACACCGGUGUGGUGCCGGCCGAAGGCUCUCCGAUGCCUAAGUCAAUUACAAGUAGUAAUUCUGGCAGAGUAACAGUAAAAGUGGGAGAGUAGUUCUCUGUUUUACUUGGGUACUGUUCCCUAUUUAUAGGGAAGUGAAAGUGGGAGCUUUGCACAAAGUUCCAAUGUGGGACUUUGUGCAAGCCGUUGUGGUGACGACACGUGUCCUGGAGAUUAGGUUUGGCAGCUGAGAGCUUCGGCAGGUGUCUGGCACCUCGGAAGUGUGUCUUCCUUCGGCAUGGGAGAAGGCGUGGCUGCCUUGGUGCUAGUCGCUUUGAUGCUGGGUCUGCUCGGUUCAUUAUGGUGUAAACAGUAGUCCCCCAAGUUCGCGGUCGAGAAGUAACUUCUGGGUUGGGAACUUGUGAGUUUUUGUAAUUGUAACCGAGCAUUCCAGCUUCAUUGGGAGUCGCAGGGCACUCCCUAGUCCCCCAAGUUGGCAAGCUAGGAGUUGCGUCAACACAUGGUAGCUGGGUACCUGGGUACUUGGGCAUGUUGCAGAUAGGAUGGGAGCUGGGUCCCUAGGGGAGCCAGACCUUCGAGGGAGCCGGGUACUUUGAAAAUUUUGGAGACUCCAAUUCUUUCAUGGCUCCUGCCGUGCGGCAAGGGUCUAGCUCACUUUUUUUUUUUUUUGGGAAUGGCCGGGCCAUUUGGGAUUUUUGGACCUCCCCACAAAGCCUCCAUGGCCCUUGCCGUUCGGCAAGGGUCUAAAUUAUUAUUAUUAUUUUUUUUUUUUUUUUUGCAAAUUUUUUUUUUUUUUUUUUUGGGAAUGGGAGCUAGGCCAUUUUGGAUUGGGCCUUCCACAGCUUCUCCAUGGCCCUUGCCGUUCAGCAAGGGUGUAGCCAUUUUUUUUUGUUUUGGAUGGCUUGGGAGCUAGGCCUUCAAGAGAGCCGGGUCGUUUUGAAAAUUUUCGACUCUCCAAAAUGUCUCCAUGGCCCUUGCCGUUCGGCAGGGGUCUAGCUAUUUUUUGGAUUGGGAGCUAGGCCGUGUUGAGAGAGAUUGAAGGCUUAGCUUGGAUUGGGCCUUCGGCAAGUAAGAAAGGCUUGAGUUUGGCCAAAGUGGGCUUCGGCAUGUAAGAAGGCUAGGGUUUGGCCAAAGUGGGCUUCGGCAUGUAAGAAGGCUAGGGUUUUGAUAGGGGUAUAAAAAUGGGAUGAUGGUGAUGCCGUUCGGCAAGGAUCCAUUCGGCAGGUUGAGGUAGAACAAAAUUUUUUUUGAAAUCCAAACUUGCCGUUCGGCAAGUUCUUGGAGUCCCGGUCUUGGAGUCACGGCUGUGGAGUUGCUGUCCGAGGGCUCUGCAGGUGGCUGAGCUUCGGCAGGGCAGCUGGAGUUCUUGGGGGCUGAGCUUCGGCGGCAGCACGGGGGUUGUAGAACCUUCGGCAGGGUCUGGUCGAGGUGCAGUUGAGGUGCUGCGGAGAUCGAAGUGGAGCUGCGACUGAUCUUGCCGUUCGGACGAAGGGGCUGGGCAGUUGUCUAGGCAGGCUGUGCGGCGCAGCAGCUUCGGCAAGGGCUUUGCCGAUAAGACAGCUGCUGGACAAGUGGAUUGGGUGCUGGCCGAGGGGGCUGGGAAGUUGAUUCGGCAGGCGGCAGCGAGGCUGUGCUGUCCGAGGAGGUUGAAGAGCUUCCGACUGGGCUUGCCGUUCGGCAAGGGACUUGGCAGCGGCCAAGGUGUCCAGCGGUUGGAGGCUUCGGCAGGGUUUCGUCGCGGCAGCUGGUUCUGCCAGCUGGGAGAGGUGCUUGGCCAGGUCGUGUGCUUCGGUAUGUCCUCCUUUCCCUCUGAUUUCAUUCUUGCAUAGCCCUUGCCGUUCGGCAAGGGUGCCCUGAGCUGAUUUUUAUUUUUAUUGAUCGUUGUGUUUGAUCAAAGGUGAUAGGCCCGAGCAAAAUUGGAGCUAGGCCAUUGGCACGAGCGCGGCCAAAAAUAACUUGGCUGAAAAAGUAGCUGGGCCGAAAAUAGUUGGGUGUGGAGAGUAUUUUGACCGAAAAGGUGAGUCCCCCCUUUGUUGUUUCUCGGGCCUUGCCGUUCGGCAAGCCCAUUUAUAUUAUGUGGUGGAAUUGGCUUGGGUGUCUUGAUCAAAUUUGGGCCUAGCCUUGUAGUAGGUUUGGGCUUAUGGAGUAGGCUAGCAAACUUGAAAUUUGGGACUCCAUUUUGUUUUUGCACGGGCCUUGCCGUUCGGCAAGGCCCCUAUUUCCCUCAAAAUUUUUGUGUUGGUUAUUGUGUAGUUUGAAAAUUGAAUUCAAAUGUACCUUUAGGAGGGAAUAUGAAAGGGUACUAGGGUUUGCUCGUGAAAUUGAGGCGUGGUACCCUUAGUUGGCUAUAAAAAGGAACUUGGGUGGUGAAGGCAUCACACUUGGCUUGAGUUGAGAAAAAUUGUGAGAAUUUUGAGGAGGAGGAGAAGAGAUUUCCGGCGAAGGUUUUGUGGUGGUGCUUGUGGCUGAGGUGAUUUCCGGGGACUUGUACGUGGUGGUACGAACAAGGUUAGACCUUAUUUCGCUUGAACUUUUGAAUUGAAAUGUCUUGUUUUGCAUGAACAUGUUGAAGGUUAGGAAGAACACAUUGAACAUGAGCAUGAACAUGAUGAACAUGUUGAACAUAUGUAUGAACAUGUAGAAUUCUUGCCUGGCAUGAAGAUUUGGCAAAUUGUUGUUGUUGUGGUUCGAUCCUCUCUGCAUGUGCAUUUAGUUCCUUCUCUUGUUUUUCCAUACUUGUAGAUGUCUGAAAGUUCUGAUAGGGAAAGUCUUGACCCCCCUGCCUUCGGCGGGGAUGAUACUGAGAGUCAAGAGCCGAGUCAAUAUAUAUGUUCUGAAGAGGAAAGUUCAGAGACAGAGGGUAUGGUGGAAGGAACCAUAGAAAGUAGGAUGAUAGGGCCUGGGGGUGAGAGGGCUGAGCCAUCGGGAGACUCUGGGUCGGCUGCAUAUAGGGAGAUGCAGAGAAAUUAUAUAGAGUUAGAGGCUAUAGCAAAUCGGGUUCUAGCCUUGCCUCAGACGCAAGAAGUGGGUUCGAGCAACCAGGCAUCACCAUCAGGGUCUGUGGGUAUAGCCGUGGCUUCGGUGUCAGAGGGAUUAGACAUCCGGGUUGGUGUCCCGUUGCCGAGGCGGAAUACACUUACAGAAGCGAAAUUGGCCCAGCUACGAACAGAUUUUUGUGUGCCAGCCUAUGUGGGCUUGAGGUUACCCACGGAGGUUGAUGUAGUCAGAUAUCCUUCGGAUGGCUCCGUGAUGAUUUUUACAGAUAUGUAUCGGCAUGGCUUCAGACUACCGUUUCAUCCGUGGGUUCAGAUGAUGUUGGCCAAGUUGGGGUAUGCACCGGGGCAGUAUAAUCCCAACUUUUGGAUUCUUCUUCAUGGGGUGUAUAUCGCCUGGUGGUUGGCUGGGUUAGGGGAGCCAACGUUUGAGCAGUUCAUGUACCUGUACUCCAUUUCGAAGCAACAGGGGAAUUUUGGCUGGGUACAGGCCAAUUGCCGAAAGGCGAAGGAGAGGGGCUAUUUUAUUGGACACAAGCCCACAACGCAAAAGUCCUGGAGGAACAGGUGGUGCUUGGCCUAUGGGGACUGGGAAUGUCCUCCAGGGAAGAGCGUUGUCCAGCACAUUCCUACCCACUUCCAGUCUAUAGGUCCUUGCCCCAUCCCUUAAGAUUGUCAAAUGCCUGAUUGUGUUGUUUUGGCUCCUAUUUUUGGUUCUGUACUUCCUUUGUGCCAGUGUAAAUGGCUAAGUAGUUUCUAACUCUUGAUGCAGGUUCAGUGAAGUGGGGCCCUAUCUCCAAGGAGCAAGAAGACGAAGUUGAGUGGGUGAGGGCGCAGCUAUCAGAGACUGAGCGUGAGUGCGGGAACCUAGUCACGCAGAAGAAUUUGUUUGAGUCCGGACUGCUGCAAGGAAGUAAGUACCUGGGUUAUCUUUUUGUUGUGUGCUAAGCCUGUUGUAAGUUUGAGUAAUAGAGUUGCUUUGUUUGUUUUGACAGUGGCUGGCAUCAUAAGGGGGAGCACGAAGGUGGCCGUAGACAUUGAUGAGGCCGAGAUGCAGAAGCGGCUGAGGGAGUCUCGGGCCAAGAAAGCUGAGAAAAUUGCUGGGAAACGACCCAGGGAUGAUGAUGAGGGUCGGGUCGCGGACGUGCUGGGGAAGAGGAAGGCUUUGGAGGAGGCUCAUCAGCAUGUGAUGGGGUCAGGGCCGAGGCUUCCGCCCUUUGAUCUGCAGGCACCGCCGAAGCUACCCUUCGGCAUGGAGGAUGUGUUCGCUGAAGGGGUAGAGAAGGUAGACUUCGGCAGGCUACGCCAGCAGAAGAAGGAGGUCAACCUGGCUAUGCACCGGCAGGAGGUGCCCUUAGUGAAAGUCUUCCUGGAAGGCGUGAAGAGCGACCCUGAGGCUCUGGCGAGGACUCCAGCUGCUUCCUUCAUUGACCGGGCCCAAAAGACGAUCCUCACCUCUGCCUAUGUAAGUGUUUAGGCCAUUUUUGAAUGUAUUUGUGUUGGAUUAUUUGUGUGGAUUGACUAACAUGGUUUUGGUUUUGCAGGCCUUUGGCGAGAUGUACGUCAGCAUGGCCAAGGCUGACAAGGAGAUCCAGAGGCUGAAGAGGCGGGAUGAGCUAGCCAAGAGCAAAAUGGCAGAGGCGCAGGAGGCCAUCCGAGAGAAGAACACCUUGCUGGUUCAGAAGGCGGCCCUGGCCAAGGAGGUGGAGGAGCUGAAGAGAUCUAGGGCCGAGGAGGUGGCUGCUGCCCGAGCCGAGGCGAUUGAGUCCUUCCGAUCCUCAGAGGAGCUGAAGAGCUAUAUCAUGGACCGACUGGUUGAUGAGCAGCUUCGCUGGGAAGAUAGGUUGGUUAGGUUCAACCCCUCACUGGAGAUUAACUUUGACACCAGUGGCGAGCCUCCUGCACAGACCCCUCCUGCUGAUGCUAGCGCCCCGACACGAGAGGCUGAGCCAGCCACUGAGGAUGCUCCUUCGACCGAGUCCUGAAGGCGUUGCCUUCGUGAUGUGUUAUAGCUAUUUUGUACUCUAGUGAUUGUGUUUGAACACUUGUUUGUUUUGUUUACUUUGGUUAUGUAUGAACAUUUGUCCUUGCCUGGAGCAAGGCUGUUUUUAUUUAUGAUAUGAACUUAGCUUGAUAUCAAUUGUGUUAACAAUGAUAACAAUGUGAGUUCAUGAGAAUGAGCCUGAGUCAGGCAUUUUAUUGAAAUAGAUGCCGAAAGGCAGAAGGUACAAGUGGUCUAGGGUCUAGAUACCUUACGUCUAACUUACAGUAAAUAAUCAAGACCAAAGUAUUAUCCUAGGGUCUAGAUAUGUUUACUUGUAAUAGUACUUGAGGUGGUCAGCAUUCCACGGGUGAGGCAGCGUCUUGCCUGAGGAAUCACGAAGCUGAUAAGUGCCGGGGCAGCAGAUUUUGAUAAUCUCAUAAGGACCUUCCCAUGUAGGGCCGAGGGUACCCUCGUUGGGAUUUUUGGUAGCCAAGGAAACCUUGCGCAUGACCCAGUCCCCCAUUUUGAAAGCACGGGGCUUGACUCGGGAGUCAUAGUAUUUGGCGAUGCGUUGCUUGUACGCGGCAUUGCGCAUGCUUGAUUGGUCCCGGAGUUCGUCAAUGAAGUCGAGGUUGAGGGCCAACUGCUCGUCAUUGGCCGUGGCAUCGUAAGUGGAGGUUCGGUAUGUGGGCUGGCCAAUCUCUACCGGAGCCACGGCCUCGGUUCCAAAUGAUAGGGAGAACGGCGUUUCACCCGUGGAUGUGCGGAAGGUGUUGCGGUAGGACCAGAGUACUUCUGGGAGUAGUUCUGGCCAGCAGCCCUUGGCUUUGUCAAGUUUUGUCUUGAGGGUCUUCUUGAUAAUUUUGUUCACGGUUUCGACCUGGCCAUUGGACUGAGGAUGGGCUGGGGAGGCGAAACACAGACGAAUCUUGAGGUUCGAACAAAAUUGUUUGAAUUUGGCGUUGUCAAAUUGCCGGCCAUUGUCGGUGAUGAUGGAGUUGGGGAUGCCGAAGCGACAUACAAUGUUUUGCCACACAAAGGAUUCGAUGCGAGCCGCAGUGAUGGUGGCCAAGGCCUCGGCCUCAGCCCACUUGGUGAAGUAGUCUACGGCCACAACAGCAUACUUGACUUGGCCCUUGCCCUCUGGCAUCGGUCCGAUGAGAUCCAGUCCCCAUUGGGCAAAUGGCCAAGGACUGACCAUGGCCGUCAGUGGUUCUGCCGGGAGUUGUGGAAUGUUGGCGAAUCUCUGACAUUUGUCGCAUUUUUGGGUGAAGGCCUGGGCGUCAGUGUGGAGUGAAGGCCAGAAAUAUCCUUGGCGGAUUGCCUUAUGAGCUAACGAGCGUGCGCCCGAGUGGUUGCCGCAGAUGCCUUCAUGGAUUUCUCGGAGGACAUAGUGACCCUCCUCUGGAGUCAGGCAUCGGAGGUAAGGAAGGCUGAAACCCCGCUUGUAUAAGGAGCCAUUAAUGAUCAGGUAACGGGCAGAGCGAUGGCGAACGCGUCGUGCUUCUGCCGGAUUAGCCGGUAGUGUUUGGUUUUGUAAGAAUUGGAGGAUGGGGUCCAUCCAUGUAGGGCUGUGAUCAAUAGUGCAGAUGAGUGGGGCUUGUGUGCUGGGCUGGGCCAAAAACUCGAUGUGGAUGUGGCGACCCAGUCCUUGCUCCAAGGCUGAUGCCAACCUGGCUAGUGCAUCGGCAUGGCUAUUCUCGGAGCGCGGCACCUGCCUGAUAGAGUGGGCUUGGAAGUUUGCCAGCAAGUGCCGAGCUUGCUGGAGGUAGGCCGUCAUAGAGGCAUCCUUAGCCGUGAAGUCCUGGUUGACCUGGUGGACCACAAGUUGUGAAUCGCUGAAUAUCUGAAUUUGCCUGGCGUCCAUCUCUUUGGCUAAUCGAAGACCAGCUAAGAGUGCUUCAUAUUCGGCCUCAUUGUUGGAGGCUUGGAAUUUGAAGCGAAGGGCGUACUCGAGGGCAACCUUGUCUGGGGAGAUGAGAACGAGGCCGGCCCCACAGCCCUGGGCAUUAGAAGAGCCGUCUACGAAUAAGGUCCACAGGGGCUGGGUUAGGUCGAGAUUGCCUUCGGUGGGGGUUUGGUCCUGGCUGGGAGGGGGGUUGGGUUCGAUUAUGAGCUGGGUAGCUGCGGAAGCUUGGGGAUCCGUGAAUUCGGAUAGGAAGUCAGCAAUGGCCUGGCCCCUCAUAGCCGGGCGGGGUUUGUAGUGAAUAUCAAACUCGCCCAGUUCAAUGGCCCAUUUGACCAGCCUCCCAGAGGUUUCUGGGUUCUGCAACACCUGUCGGAGCGGGUGGUUGGUUAAGACAUGGAUGGUGUGAGCUUGGAAAUAUGGUCGGAGGCGUCUUGCCGAGACGACCAGGGCGAAUGCCAAUUUUUCGAUGUCCGGGUAACGAACUUCGGCAUCUUGCAAUGCUUUACUAACAUAAUGCACUGGGUGCUCCGCGUGAUCUUUUGAUCGGAUAAGCACAGAGCUAACAGCCGAAGCUGAGAUGGAGAGAUAAAUCACGAGGAUGUCUCCGUGCUCAGGGGUUGACAAUAAAGGGGCCCGACCCAUAUACUCCUUCAGCUCGCUGAAAGCCGUGUCACAUUCAGCAGUCCAGGUCAUGUUUCUUUUGGUGCCUUUAAGGGCCUUGAAGAAUGGGGCGCAACGGUCAGUGGCUUUGGAGAUAAAUCUGGUCAGGGCUGCGACACGCCCUGUAAGGCUUUGGAUAUCCUUGGCCGUCUUAGGUAUUGUCAUAUCUAAGAUGGCCUGGAUCUUUUCUGGAUUGGCCUCAAUGCCCCUCUGGCUGAUCAUGAAGCCAAGGAAUUUUCCGGAAGCCACCCCGAAUGCACAUUUGGUGGGGUUAAGCCUCAUUUUGUAUUGCUUCAGAAUGGUGAACAUGGCAGAGAGGUUGGGGAUGUGCUGGUCAGCCGUGCGACUCUUGACUAGCAUGUCAUCGACAUAGACCUCCAUGGUAUUGCCAAUCAGGGGGGCAAAGAGCUGAUUCACCAGACGCUGAUAAGUGGCCCGGCGUUUUUGAGGCCGAAGGGCAUCACCUUAUAGCAGUAGAGGCCGCGGUCCGUAAUGAAAGAGGUGUGUGCCUGAUCUUCGGGGUGCAUGAAGAUCUGGUUGUAACCUGAAUAAGCAUCCAUGAAGCUAAGGAGGGCGUGGCCGGCUGUGGCGUCGACUAGCUGGUCAAUGCGGGGUAGCGGGAAGCUGUCCUUUGGGCAUGCCCGAUUAAGGUUGGUGUAGUCGACACACAUGCGCCAGCCCUUUCUUGGCUUGCGGACCAUCACGACAUUGGCCAGCCAUGUGGGAUAGUCAACCUCCCUGAUGAAUCGGAUACUACUCAAUCGAUCCACCUCCGCCUUCAUGGCCUCAUAGCGCUCGGGAUCAUAGGCUCGACGCUUCUGUCGGACUGGUCGGACGGCAGGAUUGACGCUAAGCCUAUGAGAUAUGAUGUCUGGUGAUAUGCCAGGCAUGUCAUUGUAGGACCAAGCGAAGACUUCGGAGUUGAGGCGGAGGAAGGCGACCAGGUCAGAGCGAAGCUCUGGUGAGAUGGAGGUGCCGAUCCGGACUUGUCGAUCCGGGAUAUCGUCAUGGAGGGUAACCAGCUCCAGGUCCUCCAUAGGUUCGGCCUGUGGUGCGAUGGACUCCUCCCUGGGGUCUUCAGGUGGGUCUGUGCCAGCUUGAGGAGGGGCGGGAGCCUGGGUUACUGCUAGGGCUUCACUCCUAUGUUGGCGAUUGGUGGAUUUGAUGGCUGAAGCAUAGCAGCUUCGGGCUCCGAGUUGGUCGCCGCGCACCGUGCCUGGGCCAUUAGGAGUGGGGAACUUCAACAGCAGUAUAUGCGUGAAAAUAAAAGCCUUCAUUUGGGCCAAGGCUGGGCGGCCGAGGAUGACGUUGUAGGCUGUGGGGCAAUCGACGAUAAGGAAGGGGGUAGUGAUCGUCGUCCGCUGGGGUGCGGCCCCAAUUGAGAUGGGGAGAUGAAUGCUGCCAAUGGGCUGGACCACAUCACCCGAGAAGCUCACAAGGGGUGUGAUGCUUCGGUCGAGUAGGUGAGGCGGGACCUGGAGUUCAUUGAAGCACUCGGCGAACAUCACACUGACCGAGCUGCCAGUGUCCACCAGGAUACGCCCAACGUCGAAGUUAGAAAUGUCAGCCCGGAUAAUAAGUGGAUCGUCAUGGGGGAGGAUAACACCACGCUCCUCCUCCUCGCAGAAGGUAAUGGGGGCCCAGCCAGUCCUGUGGGUCUUUGGCAAUCGUCCCUGCUCGGUGCUGAAGACCUGGUGCGCAUAGGUGGAGCGGACAUAAUGUUUGAUGGAGUUGUUGGAGGUGCCAGCCAGGGUAGGACCUCCGCUGAUGGUGGAGAUCAUGUUGAUUUGUCGUUGGUGAGGGUUAGGCGGGGCUGGUAUGUUGCGCACAUAGUUGUCCAGCUUACCUUCCCGGAUGAGCCCUUCAAUUAUGUUGCGCAAGGCAACACAAGAUUCGGUGUCAUGGCCGCUGAAUUGAUGAAAGCGGCAGAAGACCCCCGUGUUUGGCAUAGGCUUGUUGGAUGGUCUCCGGGGGGGUGGCUUGGGGAUGAUGGGGGCUUCACGUGCCAGGACGUUCUCAUAGGUGGUGUUGAGGGUCGUAAAAACCUCAAACCUGGGCCUGGGUGCGAAUGGAAGUGGGGCCCGAUCACCAGGCCUGGGAGGGUUGCUUCCACUAGAUUGAUGGGGGUUGCCAUGUCUGCCACGUUUGUGAUUGCCGAAGGGAUGCUGGUAGCUAUCCUUCCGCUUAUGUGGUUGGUUGUCCUGGGCAAUCGGGGCAGGGGUAGAAUGCUGAGGUGGGGCUGGGGCGGGUGCUGAAGCCGGUGGAGGGUCGGCGAAAGUGUUGCGCGCCAAGUUGGCUGGGCCACGCUUGGAAUUGAAGUAUUCAGCCUUAGCGUGGAUCGCCGCCUGCUUCAUCAGCUCUGCAUAUGUGUUCCAACUGUUGCUAUGAACCAGGUAGCGGAAGUUGGACUCGCGGAGGCCGCUCUUAAAAGCGCCGAAGGCAGCGCGAUCGUCAGUGUCUGGGCAGCGAGAGUAUUCAUGACUGAACCGAGCUGCAUAUUCCCGAAGGGGUUCGUCCUCAGCCUGCCUAAGCAUAUACAAGUCGUCGGCAGAGUAUAGGCGAUCAGUCUGGAUCAUAAAAUGGUCCAGGAACGUCUGCUUGAGACUAUCGAAGGAGUUGAUGGUGCAGGGGUGGAGCCUGUAGAACCAAUUCAGGGCCGCGCCGCUGAGGGUGGAAGGGAAAAGGAGGCACAUGCCUUCAUCAGUGAGGCCUUUGCACCCAAGGGCAGACUGGAAGGAGUGGAUGUGGGUGAGAGGGUCCUCCGUGCCAGUGUAGAAAGCGAUGCGGAGGGGCUGGAUAUCUUUCUCCUGGUGGUAGUGGAGGAUGCGUUCAGUAAAGGGCCCUGGUCGUGGUUUUGCCCAGAGGGGUUGAUGGCUGCGUUGUUGUUCGCUUUCCAAGCGCCGGACCUUUUCGAAGAGAAGCCUCAUGGCCGGGUCGGCAUGAGGAAGAGUUUCAGGCGCCAAAGGCCUGGGGGCGGGGCAGACAGGGACUGGGGAUUGUUCCCAAUUUUCCAGCGCCCCGGUGUGGUAAUUUGGCCAGGUCUCCGAAUUAUAAAAGUCCCAAGUAUCCGAGUCCCCGACACCUUCCUCGUCGGGUAUGCGGACGGGGGCUGGCGAAGGGCCCGGGUGUGUCACCCGUGGGUCUUCGAGGUUGACAGGGAUAGGGAUCGGCCUUGGCUGGCGGUCCGAGAGGCGAUCCCUGCAAUCUUGGUAGAUCCUGACUGGUUCAUGGGGCCGGUCCCUCGGUGGGGGAACGCAAAGGGGUCGUGACUGGGCUAUCUCCGGAUGAAGGUGGUCCUUACCCUUGCGGAGCCUAGCCUGGGCCGAGGCACUGUGGCUGGAAUGUACCGGCUGGUUCGGCUGAGUAGGCCCAACGUUCUGGGUGAGGUCUUGCGGGGCAUCCUGGGUGUGAGUCCUUUCCCAGUUCCGCUUUAAAACACGGUAGUCAUGUUCUAGCUCAAUGUUCCUGCAAUGAAGGUGGUCGUAUUUUUCCGACAUUUUAGUGACACUGUCGCGGAGACGCUCCACUUCUGCCUGGAGAGUGGCAUCUUCCGAAGAUCUCCUUCUAGAAGUACCAUCGCGGGGGGUAUGAUGCUGGGUAUCGCGGCUAUCCUCGGUCGGCAUAGCAGAAUGUGGGGUGAAGAAGAGGCGACGGGGCCUGAGGGGUGAAGGAGCCAGCUGGGCUGAUAGAGAAAGAGGGGAUUCAAGUGUCGAUUUCCCACAGACGGCGCCAAACUGUUGAUGCUCAAAAUGGCCCGGCCAAUAUUGAGUCCAACUUAGUGAUUAGAUGUGCUGAGUCUUCAGCAGAGAAGAGGGCUGAGGCCCUUGGUGAAAUGGGUUGGUGAGAGACCUGUAGAAGGUAAAAAGAGGAGAAGCAAUCGUCAAGCUUCGGACACCGGUGUGGUGCCGGCCGAAGGCUCUCCGAUGCCUAAGUCAAUUACAAGUAGUAAUUCUGGCAGAGUAACAGUAAAAGUGGGAGAGUAGUUCUCUGUUUUACCUGGGUACUGUUCCCUAUUUAUAGGGAAGUGAAAGUGGGAGCUUUGCACAAAGUUCCAAUGUGGGACUUUGUGCAAGCCAUUGUGGUGACGACACGUGUCCUGGAGAUUAGGUUUGGCAGCUGAGAGCUUCGGCAGGUGUCUGGCACCUCGGAAGUGUGUCUUCCUUCGGCAUGGGAGAAGGCGUGGCUGCCUUGGUGCUAGUCGCUUUGAUGCUGGGUCUGCUCGGUUCAUUAUGGUGUAAACAUAAAGUAUUAGGAAUUUUCUUUAGCACCUUGACAUUCAAUUUUCUCUAGUCUCAUUAUGAUUGACGUGUGAUUUCCAUAACAUUAAUUAUGCAUUGUAUAUAGCAGAUAAUUUACUCCUUUAUAUGGUUUUGUCUUGUAUGAUUGUGUGGCUUUCUUCCUUUUUUCCUAUAUAUAUCUGAUGCAAGCUAGCAUAUAUCAAUAUACACUUGCAGUGUUUUUGCAUGUGCAUGUGCUUUUGAUCAAUUAACAUGAAGGGCGACGGAAGGUGCUUGAAACUCUUUCUUGCAUUAUCGAUCCUUUUCCUACAAAACGUAAAAGGAGGAGAAGUUGGCCACAGCCACAACCACAGCCACAGUCACAGCCUCAGAGAUGCUAAAGUGACAGUGAGGUGCAUAGAGAGGGAAAGGCAAGCACUACUUGCAUUCAAACGUGGCCUGGUGGAUGAGUUCAAUCUACUCUCAACUUGGGGUUCAGAAGCCGAAAAACAAGAUUGUUGCAGAUGGGAAGGAGUCUAUUGUAGCAACCAAACUGGCCAUGUGAUUCAACUUCAUCUUGGAUAUUCUUUCCUUGAUGAGAUGUUUCAACCUGCUUUUGAAUAUUCUUUCCAAGGUAAGAUGAUUAGUCCUAAACUGAUUGAGUUGCAGCAUUUACAAUAUUUGCACCUUGCAUCCAUUGAUUUCAAUGAGAGCCAAAUUCCUGAUUUCAUUGGUUCUCUAACCAAUCUAAGAUACCUCAGUUUCCAUUCCUGUCAUUUGGUUGGUCAAAUUCCAAGUUCGUUUGGAAACCUCACGCAAUUGCAAUAUCUCGACCUCAGCUAUAAUUAUCAGCUUCAACCAGAAAAUCUCAAUUGGCUCGUUGCUCUUUCUUCUUUAACGGAUUUGGGCCUUGCAUCCUUUGAUUUCAAUUGGAGCCAAAUUCCAGAUUUCAUUGGUUCUCUAACCAAUCUAAGAAACCUCAAACUCUCUUCCUGUAAUUUGGUUGGUCCAAUUCCAAGUUCGUUUGGAAACCUCACACAAUUGCAACAUCUCGACCUCGCCAAUAAUCAGCUUCAACCAGAAAAUCUCAAUUGGCCCCCCGCUCUUUCUUCUUUAACAGAUUUGGACCUAAGCGGAAACAAUCAAAAUACUGUUUUGGACCUUGCAUCGAUUGAUUUCAAUGGGAGUCAAAUUCCAGAUUUCAUUGGUUCUCUAGCUAAUCUAAGGUACCUCAGUCUCAGUUCCUGUAAUUUGGUUGGUCAAAUUCCCAGUUUGUUUGGAAACCUCACGCAAUUGCAACAUCUCGACCUUAGCGGUAAUCAUCUUCAAGCAGAAAAUCUCAAUUGGCUCCCUGCUCUUUCUUCUUUAACGUAUUUGGACCUAAGCGGAGCCAAUCUCAGUACUGUUUUCGAUUGGCCAGAAGCAGUACUUAAUAAGCUCCCUAAACUAGAAGAGUUGACCUUGGUGAACUGUAGUCUUCCUCCUCCUCCUCCUCCUCCUCCUACUCUUUACAAAACAAAUUCUUCUACAUCUCUUGCGUAUGUUGAUCUCUCUGACAACCAUCUCACUUCUUCAAUAUUUCUUUGGUUGUCCAACUACAGUACAAGCCUUGUUGCUCUUGGCCUCUCCAACAAUCAUCUAUCUGGUUUCAUUCCCAAUUUCAUUGGAAACAUGAGCUCUCUUGUGGAUCUGGAUCUCUCUGAUAACCAGAUUAAAGGAGCGAAUCCAAAUUCGUUUGCAAGGCUGUGUAAUUUGCAAACAUUGCAGCUUCAAAGAAAUCAUCUGAGUGGACAAUUAUCUCAACUAUUGCCUAGAUGUGCUCAAAACUCAUUAGAGGAAUUGUACCUCUCUAAUAAUGUUCUUGCGGGGUCAUUAAACAAUCUUACAAGCUUCUCAUCUUUGGAAGUCUUGCAUCUUAGCGCCAAUCAAUUAAGCGGAAAAAUACCUGAAAGUGUUGGGCAAAUGUCCCAACUGUAUGACAUUGAUUUCAGCAUGAACUCUUUGGAAGGGGUGGUUUCAGAAACUCAUUUCUCAAAACUCUCCAAAUUAGAAUAUUUGGAUUUAUCCUCUAACUCACUAGUUUUAAACUUUAGUUCUAAUUGGGUUCCUCCCUUCCAGUUGAGAUACAUAAAUUUGACGUCCUGCAAGGUCGGUCCCCUUUUCCCAAAAUGGCUUCAAACUCAAAAACAUUUUUCCCUGCUUGAUAUUUCUAAUGCUGGAAUAUCUGAUAGCCUUCCAAGUUGGUUUUGGAGUAAUUUUCGUAGCGCAGACAUUAUUAAUCUCUCACAGAAUCUAAUCAGAGGAAUACUUACAAAUUUGACAGCAGAAUUUCCAUUUUACGCAGAACUACAUUUAAGUUCGAACCAAAUAGAAGGUCCAAUUCCCUCAAUUCUAUCACAAGCCUCAUAUCUGGAUCUCUCUAAUAAUAACAUUUCAGGGUCGCUUUCUUUCCUAUGUGCAAGUGCAGAUAUGAGUUAUCUUAAUCUUUCAAGCAACAGUUUUUCUGGAGAACUUCCGGAUUGCUGGAGCCAUUUGGAGAAUAAUCUAGUCAUGCUUGAUUUGAGUAACAACGCUUUUUCCGGAAAAAUUCCCAUGACAAUAGGCUCUUUAUUUCAAAUGCAAACUUUGAAAUUAAGAAGCAACCGAUUUGUUGGAGAAUUGCCUUCAUCGUUGAAGAACUGCACAAGUUUAGAGGUUAUUGAUCUGGGAGAUAAUAAAUUAUCAGGACCAAUACCUACAUGGUUAGGUGUGAGCUUCAAUAAUUUGGUUAUCCUGAUGCUUUCCUCUAAUCACUUCAAUGGAAGCAUGCCCUCGCAAUUAUGUCAUCUAACACGAAUUCAAAUUAUGGAUUUUUCUGUGAACAACAUCUCUGGAAGCAUACCCAAAUGCCUCAACAAUUUGACUACUCUGGCUCAAAAAGGAAAUCCAAGUCUAUCCAGUAGACAUUCUUAUACGAGACUUAUGGGUAAUAACACAGCUGCUAGUGCUAAUUAUGAGGAUGAUGCAAGCUUCAUAUGGAAAGGAAGAAUGCAGACAUACAAAAGCACUUUGGGACUUGUGAAAAGAAUUGAUCUCUCAAGCAAUAGAUUAACAGGGGAGAUUCCAAGUGAAAUCACUCAUCUUGUUGAGUUGGUUUCUUUAAACCUUUCAAGAAACCGGUUAACAGGUCAAAUAACUCCAGAGAUUGGAAAUUUGCAGUCAUUGGAUUCUCUUGAUUUGUCAAGAAACCAGAUAGAUGGAAGAAUUCCGACAAGCCUUGCUCGGAUAGAUCGUCUUAGUUUCUUGGACCUGUCAUAUAACAACUUGUCUGGCAAAAUACCAACAGGCACUCAGCUCCAAAGCUUUGAUCCCCUUGAUUAUGCUGAAAAUCCUCAACUAUGUGGACCUCCACUUAAAAAGAUGUGUGCUGAUCAAAAUGAGCCAUUGAGCAAUGAAGAGGAUAAGGAUGAGUUUAUAACACUGGGAUUUUACAUCAGUAUGGGGAUUGGAUUUGCUGCUGGAUUUUGGGGAGUUUGCGGCACUUUGAUAUUCAAUAGGUCAUGGAGAUAUGCAUACUUGAAGUUCUUGAAUGGUUUAAAUGAUUGGCUCUAUGUGAAGAUAGCUUUGAGCAAGCGGCAACUAAAGCUAGCAUAUGCUUAGUAGAUAAGCUCGCAACGGUACUCUCUCAUUCAUCAUUAAUUUUGUUUUAUAAUUAUUUUUCUUAUUGCAUUUUUUCCUUUUCUCCAUACUGACGGGUAUUAGUUUGUUUACUUUGAUAUUUAGCUGCAGCAUCUAAAUUAGGAGAAAAGUAGUUGUAGCUGAAUGCCUUCUUUCAGUUCAAGUGUGGAAGAUUGCCAGUAGCCGCACGCACAAGUAUCUGGAGAAGAGUUUACGAGUUAAUUUGGAGUGCUUAGUAGGAAUAAAUAUUAUUCAUAUUAGUGUUAAUUACUUGUCAGAAUAAUUAAUUCGGAAUUCUCCAAUUAAUGUUUUUUAAUAUAUUUGUUAUAGAGAAAUAAACAGAUCCAUUUUAAUCCAAGCUCACUCCGAUUAAUGUAUUAAUUCCAGCUAUAAUGUUAUUUUAAUGAACUAAGCCAAAGCCAAAGCGGACUUGAUUUCAAAUUACAAUGUGUGGCUCUGUUUUGGUCAUCUAUUUGCAACGUACAGCUUCUCCUUGUAAAUGCGUGGCUUUGUUUUGGUCAUUCUUUCCUUUCAUAAUUCAACAUCUUGUUCUGGAUUCCUUUUUGUAAACAGACUUUUUGUAUUUGGUCUAUUUUGUGGAUUUUAAGAUUGUGUUAGGCUUACUUGUUAGCUGCAAAAUGCCUUGUACCAAAACUAAAUGGUUUAUCCAUACUCUUCUUGGCUUCAAGCUGAUAUCUCCUAAAGUAGAAAUGAAGAAAUAAAAUAGCUUCUAAAUUACACGAGAUUCUACCCCCAGCUUGCUUGCAGUAUAUGAUACACAUAUCUAGCACGUUGAAUCCAUACAGAAAAACCAAAAGCAGCAUAUGAUACACAUAUCUUGCACGUCUCUUGCUAAGACGCCAAGAGUUAGGUUCACGGUAUCUAUCAUAUAGCGGUUCAAUACGUUCUUGACGCUUGCGCUUGCUCAUCUUGGUGGGAUCUGCCACUUUGAAGAACCUGGGUGCCAGUUCCGCGAGCCAUCUGGGGUCAACGACUGUCACCUCGCGCAUGUACUCCUUUGUGGUCAUAACCAGCUCCUGGUAGAUCACCCAAUCUGGUUGUCUCUGGAAGAGGGCGCUGCUUGGGUGUAUAUAAACUGGUUGGUUCUCCACUAGGGUUCUAUAACCCUCCUGCGGGUCCUUUCUAGCACCGUGGAAGAAAAACCCUGCUGUAAUUGCCUUCCUGAUCUUUGUAAAAUUCUUUCCAGCACUGACAACAUCUAGUUUAUACCUGAAAUUCACAAUCUAUAGUCAGAAUGCAAUUUCAUCUUCAAAUCAGAAAACUUAGAAAUCUUUGAUCACUGUUAUAAACUAAAGCAACCGGUGCUAGUAGAGACAUUGGCAUGACAAACUUAUGCUAAGUUUUUAUACACAAUCUUUAUAAUAAUCUAUCCUAGAACUUACAUGACAAUGCUAUGUCAAUCAAAGAAAUCUGUUAAUGGCGAUGGUAGGAUGUGUAAUAUGCCAUCUGAAUUUCCAUAUCAACUUAUAAAACAGUUUUGCAAUAUUUUGUACAAACAACACUUUACCAAGAAAAACAAUUCCAGUAUCAAAAUGACUAACAUGUCAGCACAAGAGAGCACAUUUGAAGAGCAUAUACUGGCAAUUUAGCUAUACACAAGAGUAGUUAUAAUUUAUAAAGAUACUAUACUUAACCAUUGAAAAAAUGGGAAAAAAGCACUUCUGCUAAUAAUGCUCGGAAAACAGUGUAUGUAACAUCAACAUGAGUCAUGACAACUCGUAAUGACCUAUUCAAUGCUCAGGUAUCAUAUAUCAAGAUUUUAAAACACAAACUAGGCCUGAACAACAUUUCAGCAUUUCCAUCAAGUACAGACAGCAAAAGGCGUGCCUAAUUCACGACUACUGCAAAAAUACAAUGUACCAAACAUAAGAAAACCUAGAACAUUAAUCUACAUCUUUUAAAACCAUUCAUGCACAUGUGAAACCAGAAAAAAAAUCCAUGCAGCCACGAAUACACAUCAAGAUAAAUUAGAAGAACAUACUUGUCCAUGAUGCUGAGAAGCUGUUUUCUGACAUCCUGUGCCCUCCUCAAGGAUCGAGACUGAACAAAGUUCUCAAAACACCAUGGCCCUGAAAAAUUCUUAGCUUUCCAUGCCUCAUAGACUGCAAGUAAAGUCAGAUGAUCUCCUUCUGGCUGGAAAAACUUGGCUCUCUUCUGAUCUGCCUGGGCUUGUUUUUCCCUAGGCCUGUAAAAAAUAUUACCAGUCUGAAUCAUUGCAAUGAUGGUCAAGAUCUCAUCACUGCAUCCAAGGUCGACACUGCCCAGUAGCAUCUUAGACAAGGUGGAUCCAGAGGAAACUCAGCCAUUUUCCUACCCAAUUUGGUGAGCAGCCCCUCCUCAUCCAGUGCUCCUAAACUGUACAAUUGUUCCAUGGCAGAAAUGAGUGCUUGGGGUGAAGGAGGAUCCAUAAAAUCAAAAGACAAGAGAUCAUUUAUCCCCAUAGCUUUCAUCGUAAGUGAAGUUGUCCCAAGAUUUAUCCUCUGGAUUUCUGGAAUUGAAGUAGGGGACAUCUCAUUGCGGUAUGCACUCUCAGUGUAGAGGCGGUAACAUUUCCCAGGGCCUGUACGCCCAGCGAACCCAGCUCGUUGCUUGGCUGAUGCUUGGGAAAUUGGAGUUAUGACAAGUGAAUCUAGGCCCUGCUUUGGGUUAUAAACAUUUUGCUUUGCAAAACCAGGAUCAAUGACAUAAAAUAUCCCAUCAAUGGUCAGUGAUGCCUCAGCAAUAUUAGUAGCCACAACUACUUUCCUCUAACCUGGUGGGGCAGGAUCAAAUAUCCUUGACUGCAUUUCACUAGGAAGGGCACUAUACACUGGUAGGAUAAUCAACUCAGGGACAUUUUUACCAAGACCUUUCAUCCUCUCAUAAAGAGACUAGCAUGCAAAAUCGAUCUCUUCUUGUCCAGUCAAGAAAAGAAGGAUGUCACCUUCAGGUUCUGUCAAGUGUAUUUGUAGAACAGUUAUUAGAGAUGCAUCAAGGUAGUCACUUUCCGUCUGUUUAGUGUAAAGUAUCUCUACAGGAAAGUUCUCCCAGGGAUAGUGAAGAUGUUACAGUUGAAGAAAUAACCAGAAAACUUCUCCGCAUCCAAAGUAGCAGAUGUGACAAUCAAACGAAGGUCUGGUCUCCGCUUCACAAGCUUCUUCAGUAGUCCAAAAAGAACAUCUGUGUGGAUUGUCCUCUCAUGAGCUUCAUCAAGCAUGACCACAGAAUACUGAGAAAGGUUCUCGUCAAUCAAAAUCUCCCGAAGAAGCAUACCAUCAGUCAUGUACUUGAUGACAGUAUUGGGACCAGUGCAAUCCUCAAAACGAAUUGCAUAGCCGACUUCCUCUCCUAAACGACAACCAAACUCUUCAGCAACCCUCUUGGCCACAGACAUGGCAGCCACCCUAUGUGGCUGUGUACAAUCAAUCUUACCCAUUGUCGAGCUCAUUCUCUCCAAUGGCCGGCGUGACGGGCCAACAUCAUCCUCUUCCACAAUCCUAAUCCCAGAAAGACCAGUCCUAGUCACAGGUCCAUCCUUUGAAAAAGAUGGGUUCGUCCUAAGAGCAUCAUCCUCUGAGCUCUAAUUCAAGGGGAGCAAAUCCUUCCCUGUAUGUUGAUCAACAUCCCUCAUCGAAAGGCUCAACUUCUGACCUGAAAUUGAAAUCACCUUCACAUAAACUUCCUGAUCCCUCUUCACCACAUCCUUAGCAUUGCUAAUUCGCCUAGUUGCCAUCUGUGAAACGUGAACCAGACCCUCCUUCC
rnacentral:lncRNA from 1 species